GGUUAAGUGACUAAGCGUACACGGUGGAUGCCUUGGCAGUCAGAGGCGAUGAAGGACGUACUAACCUGCGAAAAGCUACGGGGAGCCGGUAAGAGGCAUUAUAUCCGUAGAUAUCCGAAUGGGGAAACCCAGUGAGUUUACUCACUAUCGCUACAUGAAUACAUAGUGUAGCGAGGCAAACCGGGAGAACUGAAACAUCUAAGUACCCCGAGGAAAAGAAAUCAACCGAGAUUCCGUUAGUAGCGGCGAGCGAACGCGGAGUAGCCCUUAAGCUAUAUUGGUGUUAGUGGAAUACUCUGGAAAGGGUAGCGAUACAGGGUGAUAGCCCCGUACACGACAAUGCUUUUAUAGUGAAAACGAGUAGGACGGGACACGUGGUAUCCUGUUUGAACAUGGGGGGACCAUCCUCCAAGGCUAAAUACUCCUGACUGACCGAUAGUGAACCAGUACCGUGAGGGAAAGGCGAAAAGAACCCCUGUAAGGGGAGUGAAAUAGAACCUGAAACCGUGUACGUACAAGCAGUGGGAGCACCUUCGUGGUGUGACUGCGUACCUUUUGUAUAAUGGGUCAGCGACUUACAUUCUGUAGCGAGGUUAACCGAAUAGGGGAGCCGUAGGGAAACCGAGUCUUAACUGGGCGAAUAGUUGCAGGGUGUAGACCCGAAACCGGGCGAUCUAUCCAUGAGCAGGUUGAAGGUUGGGUAACACUAACUGGAGGACCGAACCCACUAAUGUUGAAAAAUUAGGGGAUGACUUGUGGAUCGGAGUGAAAGGCUAAUCAAGCUCGGAGAUAUCUGGUUCUCCUCGAAAGCUAUUUAGGUAGCGCCUCGAGCGAAUACCAUUGGGGGUAGAGCACUGUUUGGGCUAGGGGGUCAUCCCGACUUACCAACCCCAUGCAAACUCCGAAUACCAAUGAGUACUACUCGGGAGACACACGGCGGGUGCUAACGUCCGUCGUGAAAAGGGAAACAACCCAGACCGCCAGCUAAGGUCCCAAAGUAAUGAUUAAGUGGAAAACGAUGUGGGAAGGCAUAGACAGCUAGGAGGUUGGCUUAGAAGCAGCCACCCUUUAAAGAAAGCGUAAUAGCUCACUAGUCGAGUCGGCCUGCGCGGAAGAUGUAACGGGGCUAAAAUCAUUCACCGAAGCUGCGGACUUGCAUUAUGUGCAAGUGGUAGAGGAGCGUUCUGUAAGCCUGCGAAGGUGUCUUGAGAAGGAUGCUGGAGGUAUCAGAAGUGCGAAUGCUGACAUGAGUAACGAUAAGGGGAGUGAAAAACUUCCCCGCCGAAAGACCAAGGGUUCCUAUCCCAUGCUAAUCAGGGUAGGGUGAGUCGGCUCCUAAGGCGAGGCUGAAAGGCGUAGUCGAUGGGAAACAGGUUAAUAUUCCUGUACCGGCCAAUACUGCGAUGGGGGGACGGAGAAAGCUAGGCAAGCGCGGCGUUGGUAGUCCGCGUGAAAGUGUGUAGGUUGAGAGACUAGGAAAAUCCGGUUUCUUAAGACUGAGACACGAGACGAGUCACUAAGGUGAUGAAGUUGCUAACGCUAUGCUUCCAGGAAAAGCCUCUAAGCUUCAGGUAUUGGUGACCGUACCCUAAACCGACACAGGUGGUCAGGUAGAGCAUACCAAGGCGCUUGAGAGAACUCGGCUGAAGGAACUAGGCAAAAUAGUACCGUAACUUCGGGAGAAGGUACGCUCUUUGAUGUGAAGCCCUUGCGGUGUAAGCAUUGGAGAGUCGCAGUGACCAGCUGGCUGCAACUGUUUAUUAAAAACACAGCACUCUGCAAACACGUAAGUGGACGUAUAGGGUGUGACACCUGCCCGGUGCCGGAAGGUUAAUUGAUGGGGUUAGCGCAAGCGAAGCUCUUGAUCGAAGCCCCGGUAAACGGCGGCCGUAACUAUAACGGUCCUAAGGUAGCGAAAUUCCUUGUCGGGUAAGUUCCGACCUGCACGAAUGGUGUAAUGAUGGCCAGGCUGUCUCCAGCCGAGACUCAGUGAAAUUGAAAUUGCGGUGAAGAUGCCGUAUACCCGCGGCUAGACGGAAAGACCCCGUGAACCUUUACUAUAGCUUGGCACUGAACAUUGACCCUACAUGUGUAGGAUAGGUGGGAGGCUUUGAAGUUGGAACGCUAGUUCUGAUGGAGCCGUCCUUGAAAUACCACCCUUGUAUGUUUGAUGUUCUAACGUAGGUCCCUGAAUCGGGAUUGCGGACAGUGUCUGGUGGGUAGUUUGACUGGGGCGGUCUCCUCCUAAAGAGUAACGGAGGAGCACGAAGGUUGGCUAAGUACGGUCGGACAUCGUACGGUUAGUGUAAUGGUAGAAGCCAGCUUAACUGCGAGACAGACACGUCGAGCAGGUACGAAAGUAGGUCAUAGUGAUCCGGUGGUUCUGUAUGGAAGGGCCAUCGCUCAACGGAUAAAAGGUACUCCGGGGAUAACAGGCUGAUACCGCCCAAGAGUUCAUAUCGACGGCGGUGUUUGGCACCUCGAUGUCGGCUCAUCACAUCCUGGGGCUGAAGUCGGUCCCAAGGGUAUGGCUGUUCGCCAUUUAAAGUGGUACGCGAGCUGGGUUUAGAACGUCGUGAGACAGUUCGGUCCCUAUCUGCCGUGGGCGUUGGAUGAUUGAGUGGAGUUGCUCCUAGUACGAGAGGACCGGAGUGAACGAACCGCUGGUGUUCGGGUUGUCAUGCCAAUGGCAUUGCCCGGUAGCUACGUUCGGAACGGAUAACCGCUGAAAGCAUCUAAGCGGGAAGCCGGCCACAAGAUGAGUCAUCCCUUAGACUUCGAGUCUACUAAAGGGUCGUUGAAGACCACAACGUUGAUAGGUGAGGUGUGGAAGCGUGGUGACACGUUAAGCUAACUCAUACUAAUUGCCCGAGAGGCUUAACCAU
rnacentral:rRNA from 1 species